GUGACAGCCCCGUACACAAAAAUGCACAUACUGUGAGCUCGAUGAGUAGGGCGGGACACGUGGUAUCCUGUCUGAAUAUGGGGGGACCAUCCUCCAAGGCUAAAUACUCCUGACUGACCGAUAGUGAACCAGUACCGUGAGGGAAAGGCGAAAAGAACCCCGGCUAGGGGAGUGAAAAAGAACCUGAAACCGUGUACGUACAAGCAGUGGGAGCCUCUUUAUGGGGUGACUGCGUACCUUUUGUAUAAUGGGUCAGCGACUUAUAUUCUGUAGCAAGGUUAACCGAAUAGGGGAGCCGAAGGGAAACCGAGUCUUAACUGGGCGUUAAG
rnacentral:rRNA from 1 species